rnacentral:rRNA from 1 species
AUGUUGGAGGGGUCAGAGAGUAAUGUUUCGAACCUCAAGUUCCUCUUAUUGUGCUUCUGGCAGAUGUCCGGCCUUUGGAUCAACUUCGAUAAGAGUGAGGUGAUAGUCUUGGGCUAUGCCCAAGACGAGCGACAAAGCAUAGCGGAUCGACUUAAUUGCCAGCUUGGGUGUUUCCCCAAGACGUAUCUAGGGAUACCCAUUAGUGACGCCAGGCUUACGGUGGCCGAGCUGCGCCCCAUAGUGGGGAAGCACCAGCACCGUAUUGAGCCCUGGCAGGGUCGGUGGCUUUCAAAAGCGGCCCGUACGGUGCUCAUUAACUCGUCCCUCUCCAGCCUCCUAUUAUUCAUCAUGAGCUUCUACAGCCUUCCGGAGACUCUACAUCACGAGAUUGCCACCGUUCAGGGGCGUUUCUUCUGGGCUGGCGAGGGGGAUAAGCAGAAGUACCACAUGGUUAGGUGGUCUGAGAUCUGCAAACCUCGCGACCAGGGCGGCCUCGGGAUCAUGUCCUCCAAACGCAUGAACAUUGCCCUUCUGACUCGAUGGCUCUGGCGGAUAGGCAAUGGAGAUGGUGGCCUGUGGCUUCGCAUCAUUCAGCAGAAAUACCUCUGA